CCUACGGGUGGCAGCAGUGGGGAAUAUUGGACAAUGGGGGGAACCCUGAUCCAGCCAUGCCGCGUGUGUGAAGAAGGCCCUCGGGUUGUAAAGCACUUUCAGUGAGGAAGAACGCCUGGUGGUUAAUACCCAUCAGGAAAGACAUCACUCACAGAAGAAGCACCGGCUAACUCCGUGCCAGCAGCCGCGGUAAUACGGAGGGUGCGAGCGUUAAUCGGAAUUACUGGGCGUAAAGCGCGCGUAGGUGGCUUGAUAAGCCGGUUGUGAAAGCCCCGGGCUCAACCUGGGAACGGCAGCCGGAACUGUCCAGCUUGAGUGCCGGAGAGGAAGGUAGAAUUCCCGGUGUAGCGGUGAAAUGCGUAGAGAUCGGGAGGAAUACCAGUGGCGAAGGCGGCCUUCUGGACUGACACUGACACUGAGGUGCGAAAGCGUGGGUAGCAAACAGGAUUAGAUACCCCUGUAGUC
rnacentral:rRNA from 1 species